GGUUGGUUCAUGGACGUAUAAUGCAGUCGAGCGAACGGACGAGAAGCUUGCUUCUCUGAUGUUAGCGGCGGACGGGUGAGUAACACGUGGAUAACCUACCUAUAAGACUGGGAUAACUUCGGGAAACCGGAGCUAAUACCGGAUAAUAUUUUGAACCGCAUGGUUCAAAAGUGAAAGACGGUCUUGCUGUCACUUAUAGAUGGAUCCGCGCUGCAUUAGCUAGUUGGUAAGGUAACGGCUUACCAAGGCAACGAUGCAUAGCCGACCUGAGAGGGUGAUCGGCCACACUGGAACUGAGACACGGUCCAGACUCCUACGGGAGGCAGCAGUAGGGAAUCUUCCGCAAUGGGCGAAAGCCUGACGGAGCAACGCCGCGUGAGUGAUGAAGGUCUUCGGAUCGUAAAACUCUGUUAUUAGGGAAGAACAUAUGUGUAAGUAACUGUGCACAUCUUGACGGUACCUAAUCAGAAAGCCACGGCUAACUACGUGCCAGCAGCCGCGGUAAUACGUAGGUGGCAAGCGUUAUCCGGAAUUAUUGGGCGUAAAGCGCGCGUAGGCGGUUUUUUAAGUCUGAUGUGAAAGCCCACGGCUCAACCGUGGAGGGUCAUUGGAAACUGGAAAACUUGAGUGCAGAAGAGGAAAGUGGAAUUCCAUGUGUAGCGGUGAAAUGCGCAGAGAUAUGGAGGAACACCAGUGGCGAAGGCGACUUUCUGGUCUGUAACUGACGCUGAUGUGCGAAAGCGUGGGGAUCAAACAGGAUUAGAUACCCUGGUAGUCCACGCCGUAAACGAUGAGUGCUAAGUGUUAGGGGUUUCCGCCCCUUAGUGCUGCAGCUAACGCAUUAAGCACUCCGCCUGGGGAGUACGACCGCAAGGUUGAAAAUCAAAGAAAAUUUGACGG
rnacentral:rRNA from 1 species